ensembl:lncRNA
GCUAGACUCAGAAUCUGAGGCCCUCUCUGGGCCAGACAUGGGAACAGGAGCCCUCUCUGGGAUUGACUCGGGAUCUGAGGCCCUCGCUGGCCUUGGAACAGACUCUGCAUUUGUUUGGGCUGUAGUGGAUUCAGGACUGAACUUGAUGAAAUGAGUUGACCCAGGGGCUGGAGCCGACACUGGAGCGGACUUUGAAGAGCAUCCUGGAGUGGACUCAGGUGAGAGGAUAGGGGUUGUGAGCAGUCAUUUCCUCCUCAUCCUCCUUUUUUGAGCAGAGGUUGGACAGGAUACUGUUGCUAUCCUUGGGUGAAGCGGCCGGCAGGCUUGAGAGUGGAGUGGUCGACCACCCUUUCGCAGGCAGCACAGCUGGUCCUCAGCCCAAUUCAUCUUGUUUGUUGGUCCAGUCAUCUGUCACGAUAGUGUCGGGAGGAGGAAGCCGAAGGAGAGAGCUGGUGCAAUCAAAACUCUCAGUUUAAUAAUAACAAAAAGGCAGAAGGACAAUGGGAAACACAACGUAGUAUAACUGUGAUCAGACAACCAAAGACUGAACAGACUGGGGCUUAUACACAAACGAGGGUAAUUAACUAGACACAGGUGAACAGAAUUAAUUAAUCAGGGCAACUAAGGAAAACACAACAAAACAGGAACACAGAAGUCCAGGGGGGUGACAAAAACUGAUAUAUAAUAUGUUUCAAAAGAACUCAAGAUUCAGUUUAAGUGAAAUCAAUUCAUUUUUAACUAGGCUUAUUUAAAUAUAAUAAAGAAAAAAAAUUAACACUCAGUACACAAGAUAAAAAAAUAAAUAAAUAAAAAAUCAAGAUCAAGACAAUAUGAGAUUCAUUUAUUAGCCUGAUUAAAUUAUUGAAAUAAAAAUAUGAUGGUAAUAUGAUGUUGGUAACGCAUUUCAAUAAGGUUCCAUUUGUUAACUAUUAAUACAUGAACUAAUGACGUUCCAAUUAGGUUCGGGAGGAGCCUAAUCUUUUCAGUCCUGUCACUCAUCAUUAAAAGCAGCAUAUAUAAACAGCAGUCACUGCACCAUCCCAGGAACAAUUCCUCCGGCAACCCUCCACCUAACCAUCUCCUCCUGUAUUUCUG